UACAGAGGGGGCAAGCGUUAAUCGGAAUUACUGGGCGUAAAGCGCGCGUAGGUGGUUGGUUAAGUUGGAUGUGAAAGCCCCGGGCUCAACCGGGGAACUGCAUCCAAAACUGGCCGGCUAGAGUACGGUAGAGGGUGGUGGAAUUUCCUGUGUAGCGGUGAAAUGCGUAGACAUAGGAAGGAACACCAGUGGCGAAGGCGACCACCUGGACUGAUACUGACCCUGAGGUGCGAAAGCGUGGGGCGCAAACAGG
rnacentral:misc_RNA from 1 species